rnacentral:rRNA from 1 species
UACGAAGGGGGGCUAGCGUUGCUCGGAAUCACUGGGCGUAAAGGGCGCGUAGGCGGCCGAUCAAGUCAGAGGUGAAAGCCCAGGGCUCAACCCUGGAAUUGCCUUUGAUACUGUUUGGCUAGAGACCGGAAGAGGUUAGUGGAACUGCGAGUGUAGAGGUGAAAUUCGUAGAUAUUCGCAAGAACACCAGUGGCGAAGGCGGCUGAACUGGUCCGGUUCUGGACGCUGAGGCGCGAAAGCGUGGGGAGCAAACAGGG